GCCUUCGGGCAUUUGGUCAAUUUAUAACAAUACAGAGAAGAUUAGCAUGGCCCCUGCACUAAGGAUGGUGAGUUCGAGUCCUUGCUUGUCCAAAAUACUU
rnacentral:snRNA from 1 species